ACGACCAUACCCACUGGAAUAUACGGGAUCCCGUCCGCUCUCCCCUAGUCAAACCAGUGAAGGGCCGGAUUAAAACUCAUGGUGAAAGUGGGAUUCGGACUUCUCGACCUCUGGCCAAUA